rnacentral:rRNA from 1 species
CGGGUGAGUAAUGUCUGGGAAACUGCCUGAUGGAGGGGGAUAACUACUGGAAACGGUAGCUAAUACCGCAUAACGUCGCAAGACCAAGAGGGGGACCUUCGGGCCUCUUGCCAUCGGAUGUGCCCAGAUGGGAUUAGCUAGUAGGUGGGGUAAUGGCUCACCUAGGCGACGAUCCCUAGCUGGUCUGAGAGGAUGACCAGCCACACUGGAACUGAGACACGGUCCAG